rnacentral:lncRNA from 1 species
CUUUGCCCUCCUUCCCUGCCCCCUCUUCUAGGGGAGUCAGAUCGAGUUGUAAGGAGAACAUGCCCACUGUCUCGAUGGCUGCAGCGUGCAAUCCAUACAGACGGUGAGGAUGCAAAGAGAAAGUGGCUGCCUGCAAACCAGGAGGAGAGCCCUCACCAGGAACCAAUCUAGCUGACACUUUGAACUUGGACUUCAAACCUCCAGUAUUGUGAAGAGUACAAUUUUAUGAAGAGGGAUCCUGGA